UACCACCACCGCUGCCAUCGCUGCAGGGACAGGAAGCAGAAGUCCUUGGAGAAGGGGCCUAGCCUGUCCGCAGACACAGAUGGCGCACCCAGCAGUGCUGCAGGGCCAGGCCCACCCCCGAGAGAGGGGCCCACAGCCUGCCGGACAGAGCGCAGACAGGAGCGGGGCCGGUCCCAAGAGCGGAGGCAGCCCUCUUCCUCUUUCUCGGAGAAGCAGCGUUUCUACUCCUGUGACCGCUUUGGGGGCCGGGAGCCCUCGCAGCCCAAACCCUCCCUCAGCAGCCACCCCACAUCACCAACAGCUGGGCAGGAGCCAGGACCCUCGAGACCAGGUGGUGGUUCAGUGAAUGGGAGCCCCUUGUUGUCAACAUCCGGUGCUAGCACCCCUGGCCGUGGUGGGCGGAGGCAGCUCCCCCCGACUUCGCUGACCCCCCGUCCCAGU